UUUAUUUAAGAAUUAUGUCCACCUUGUUGCCGAUGUUCACUCCUUAUGAAGUUCACUCUUUAUGAAUUUUUAAACAUUCUUUUAUGUUUUGAGAAACUAAACAGAAUUAUAAAUGGUCAGCAAUACAAAAUGUACAUAGAGAUGUUUGCUAUGAUUUUCACUUGUUGAAUAUGCUCUUAGACCAAGGUGAUCGACAAAGGUUAUUUAGUUUUACAAAUAACAUUCUUCUUCAAGUGUCUUACAAAAAAAUAAUUAUAGCAAAGGUGUAUUCAUUCAAUCUAAUUA
rnacentral:lncRNA from 1 species